rnacentral:rRNA from 1 species
CCUACGGGUGGCAGCAGUGAGGAAUAUUGGUCAAUGGGCGCGAGCCUGAACCAGCCAAGUAGCGUGAAGGCUGACUGCCCUACGGGUUGUAACCUUCUUUUAUCAAGGGCUAAAGUGAUCCACGUGUGCCUUUUUGUAUGUACUUUAUGAAUAAGGUUCGUCUAACUCCGUGCCAGAAGCCGCGGUAAUAGGGAGGAUCCGAGCGUUUUCGGAUUUAGUGGGUUUAAAGGGGGCGUAGAUGGGUGGUUAAGUCAGUUGUGAAAGUUUGCGGUUCAACCGUAAAAUUGCACUUGAGAAUGGCAGUCGUGAGUACAGUUGAGGUAGGCGGAAUUCGUGGUGUAGCGGUGAAAUGCUUAGAUAUCACGAAGAACUCCGAUUGCGAAGGCAGCUUACGAAACUGCCACUGACAUUGAUGCUCGAAAGUGUGGGUAUCAAACAGGAUUAGAUACCCGUGUAGUC